rnacentral:rRNA from 1 species
AAAGGUAAGCUACUAAGAGCGAAUGGUGGAUGCCUUGACUGGUAAAGGCGAUGAAGGACGUACUAGACUGCGAUAAGCUACGGGGAGCUGUCAAGAAGCUUUGAUCCGUAGAUUUCCGAAUGGGGCAACCCAAUGUAUAGAGAUAUACAUUACCUAUAUAGGAGCGAACGAGGGGAAUUGAAACAUCUUAGUACCCUCAGGAAAAGAAAUCAAUAGAGAUUGCGUCAGUAGCGGCGAGCGAAAGCGCAAGAGGGCAAACCCAGUGCUUGCACUGGGGGUUGUAGGACUGCAAUGUGCAAGAGGUAAGUUUAGCAGAACAUUCUGGAAAGUAUAACCAUAGAGGGUGAUAGUCCCGUAUGCGAAAAACAAACCUUAGCUAGCAGUAUCCUGAGUAGGGCGGGACACGAGGAAUCCUGUCUGAAUCCGGGUCGACCACGAUCCAACCCUAAAUACUAAUACCAGAUCGAUAGUGCACAAGUACCGUGAGGGAAAGGUGAAAAGAACUGAGGUGAUCAGAGUGAAAUAGAACCUGAAACCAUUUGCUUACAAUCAUUCAGAGCCCUAUGUAGCAAUACAGGGUGAUGGACUGCCUUUUGCAUAAUGAGCCUGCGAGUUGUGGUGUCUGGCAAGGUUAAGCAAACGCGAAGCCGUAGCGAAAGCGAGUCUGAAUAGGGCGCUUAGUCAGAUGCUGCAGACCCGAAACGAAGUGAUCUAUCCAUGAGCAAGUUGAAGCUAGUGUAAGAACUAGUGGAGGACUGAACCCAUAGGCGUUGAAAAGCCCCGGGAUGACUUGUGGAUAGGGGUGAAAGGCCAAUCAAACUUCGUGAUAGCUGGUUCUCUCCGAAAUAUAUUUAGGUAUAGCG